AUUGAACGCUGGCGGCAGGCUUAACACAUGCAAGUCGAACGAGUGGCGGACGGGUGUGUAAUGCUUGGGAAUCUCGUUUAUGGAGGGGGAUAACUACGGGAAACUGUAGCUAAUACCGCGUACCAUACGAUGAGCCCAAGUGGGAUUAGGUAGUUGGUGAGGUAAAGGCUCACCAAGUCGACGAUCCCUAGCUGGUCUGAGAGGAUGACCAGCCACACUGGGACUGAGACACGUCCCAGACUCCUACGGGAGGCAGCAGUAGGGAAUAUUGCGCAAUGGGGGCAACCUGAAGGAGCCAUGCCGCGUGAAUGAAGAAGGCCUUCGGGUUGUAAAGUUCUUUCGGUAGCGAGGCGUUAACUACAGAAGAAGCACCGGCUAACUCCGUGCCAGCAGCCGUGGUAAUAC
rnacentral:rRNA from 1 species